UGAAUACGAGAUGCUACGGCGUCGAAGCAGUCUAUGUCAUACUUCCAAGAAAAGCUUGCACUGUCAUAAACAAAUAAUGCCUGUACCAUAACCGACACAGGUGGGUAGGUAGAGUAUACUAAGGGGCGCGAGAUAACUCUCUCUAAGGAACUCGGCAAAAUGACUCCGUAACUUCGGGAGAAGGAGUGCCUUAUUUAUAAGGUUGCAAUAACAAGAUCCAAGCAACUGUUUACCAAAAACACAGGUCUCCGCUAAGUCGUAAGACGAUGUAUGGGGGCUGACGCCUGCCCAGUGCCAGAAGGUUAAAGAAGUUGGUUAGCAUCCGCGAAGCUGAUAACUGAAGCCCUGGUGAACGGCGGCCGUAACAAUAACGGUCCUAAGGUAGCGAAAUUCCUUGUCGGGUAAGUUCCGACCCGCACGAAAGGCGUAAUGAUUUGGAUACUGUCUCGGAGAGGGGCUCGGUGAAAUAGACUUGUCUGUGAAGAUGCGGACUACCUGCACCAGGACAGAAAGACCCUAUGAAGCUUUACUGUAACCUAAAAUUGAAAUAGGACUUUACUUGCGCAGUAUAGGUGGGAGGCGUUGAGAAUAUUCUUGCGGGAUUAUUGGAGCCAUCAGUGAGAUACCACUCUUGUAAUGUUAGAUUUCUAACUUUGUAUCAUUAUCUGGUCAAAGAACAGUUUCAGGCGGGCAGUUUGACUGGGGCGGUCGCCUCCUAAACGGUAACGGAGGCGCACAAAGGUUUCCUCUGAACGGGUAGAAAUCGUAUCUAGAGUGUAAAGGCAUAAGGAAGCUUGACUGUGAGACCUACAAGUCGAGCAGGGACGAAAGUCGGUCUUAGUGAUCUGACGGUGCUGAGUGGAAAGGCCGUCACUCAACGGAUAAAAGUUACUCUAAGGAUAACAGGCUGAUCUCCCCCAAGAGUUCACAUCGACGGGGAGGUUUGGCACCUCGAUGUCGGCUCAUCGCAUCCUGGGGCGGUAGUACGUCCCAAGGGUUGGGCUGUUCGCCCAUGAAAGCGGUACGCGAGCUGGGUUCAGAACGUCGUGAGACAGUUCGGUCCAUAUCCGGUGUAGGCGUUAGAAUAUUGAGAGGAGCCUUCUUUAGUACGAGAGGACCGAGAAGGACAUACCUCUGGUGUACCAGUUAUCGUGCCAACGGUAAACGCUGGGUAGCUAUGUGUGGAGUGGAUAACCGCUGAAAGCAUCUAAGUGGGAAGCCCACCUCAAGAUAAGUAUUCUC
rnacentral:rRNA from 1 species